ACAACUUAAUUAUGCUGUAAAUAGGCAUCAUGAUAGCAGGACUGGAUUAUGAAUUUCCUGGUGAUUUGGAUUGAAUUGCUCUCUUUCUAUUUACGUCUGUACUAUGAAUACUCUGAUGAGGCUGUGCUGGUAUGUUCAGGCCUAGCAGGUUCUAGUGCUAAGCAACCGUUGCCUUGGAAACUGUUACGCACGGUGACAUCAUGAAUACUGAGUCAUCCUUUCCUUAUCCUUGCAAUCCUGCAAGGUCAUGCACACGCUGUAGGGAUGAGCGUUAUUGAUUUAUUCCCAGUGCAUUGAUUUCUAUUUGAAACAAAUGUAAAGACCACCGUUCCCCACAGUGUCAUUCUAUUGCUUUUAAAGCAGGGCACGCAUUUUAAAAGCCCCCUUCUCAAGACAGUACAAUGGUACAUUCCAGGCUGUUUCUGACUGGCCACUCACUCCUUUGCCCCCUCUCUUCCCUGCAGCAGGGAGCGAUGCAUUGUGGGAAACUCCCAGGUUGGUCCCUGCAGAGCAUCCUCUGAGCUGCAAGGCGGAAGAAGCAAAGAGAUUAUUUUGGACAACCUAUUGUGAAUAUAAUAUUACACCAUACGAAAAAAUAUUCUGUUCUGACUGACUUAGCUAAAAAGGGCUCGAGAGAGUUCAAAAUGGAGGCCAAAUCUAGAUCUACCAGCUCUAAGGUCUCUAAAACUGAGAAGAGUAGCCCAGCAGCAGAGAAGAAAGAUAGCUCAACCAAAGAGCAACAUAAUCCCACAACAAAGAAAACAACGGCAGAGAUUGUGCCAGCCACUCAAGAUGGCACAAAACCUGCUGCAUCUGAACCUCAGGUGACACCAGCGACUUCAGACAAGGGGAACGCAGAAGAGCAGGAUACCUCUAAUGGCACUGGUGAAGGCUCAGGGUUUGAAGGCCUGAAGCCUCUGUUGGUAGCUGCCGGUGUGACAGUGGCGGCCCUUGCAGUAAUCGUAGGCAUUGUGUUUCUGGCUCGGAAAAAAUAGCAUGUUUGAAAUUUUCAAGGGAAGUUCAAGUAGGGAGGUCCGAACAAGGACCAAAAUGUACAGUUUCUCUAAAGGCUGCCGCAUGCCUCAGAAUCAUCACCUAUUCAUCACAUGCAGUCACACAGAUAUCUGAGAAGAGGUGGAUCUAAAAACGAGAUUGCUGGCUGCUGCCAUAUUGAUGACAUUUUAAUAAGGUUGUUAAUUAUCACCACUAGUAAUACACUGUAUUUAAUAUGGCUAUAGUAUAAGUCAUUUUACUUUGCUCCAUUCAGCUAUAGUAAUAUUACGCACCGACUCCUUUGGGUUGUACAGGGGAAUCUCUUAUAACUGUCCCUCUAAAUUUUUAUCUAAUCUUUGUGAAAUGUACCUCUACUUUGUAAGUCAAUUCUCUCUGUAAAUGUCUUCAUUUGAAUUCCAGUGACCAUCCUUCCUCAGUGCCCCGAUCACUAAUACACUGCCUAGCCACAUACCGCAUCUGCAUCCUUAACAUUCGAUUAUGCAAUGGUUUCCUUUUUCAAACCACCACACUCCAUUAGGCUCAGUGUUUAUUUUUUGGGUGCCAAAAUGCACCUAUGUGGCUUAUAGUUGACAGCAAAUAUAAUUUAGCUGUGCCAAAAAUAUUGAGGAGAACAAAAGCUUCAGUAUUGAUUAUGUUUAAAUGACCAGAAUAUUAAUCAAAUUCUUGGAUAACUCACUAUCUACUACCUACUACCACCCUGAAUCACUCUCUCCAUGGUUUCGAUUAACGGGACCCUAGGAAAUAUUUGCUUAGGAAUCCUUUCUAUGGAUUUAUGGAGACUCCUAGACUAAAUGUGGCGAGUUGGGCCCUCUAACUCUGCAGGUAGAACAGAAUGACAGUGGAAGUUAUCUGUAGAUUGCAGCCACAACCAAGUGAAUGAAACAAAUAAAAAGAAAGGAUGAAAGGAGAGAUCCUUUGAUCAACAAACUUUGUGGGUUCUGCUAAACUGGGAAGGAGGACAAAACUCAACAUGAGGAAUGUCUUGAUAUUUCCAAAUUGUUAUACUCCGCUAUACCGCUAAUAAAUCCUUGGUACAUUCUUUUUUACAUAGUCCUAUCUAUUACAUUUCCCUGUAUAAUUUCUAACCAUUAAAAACUUCAUCCCACUGGUAAAGAUUUGAGGAAGACCAUAAAAAAUCUAUCUCCCCAACCCUUUAUAAUUCAUGGGAAAAAAAACCCAAAAUGGUCCUCAUAGACACCCAUGGGAUAUUCCUACAAGAGCAUCUUUGACACUUAUGGGAUAAAACUGUGAUUUUGAGGGACAACACUAAUAAGAGUUAGAAAUAAAUAUCACUAUCCUGCAUUAAUAAUGCCAUCAAUACUGACAAAUAAUGAUGACGCUGUUCUUUGAUACCCUACUGUGUUUGUUUCUCCUUUCUAAAAUAACAAAAGCGUAUAAAUGCAAUAAUGUGGUUAGAAUAGGAAAAUACGAGAAGAUUAAGGCCUUUAUUUUUAAGGUAGUUCUGAUAAAUGUCAUCUGCACUUAAACCCUCUUAAAAGAAAACUAUUGUUAAGAUACAAGUUAUUUCAUAAAGGCUUCAUAGGAGUAUCAAGGGCAAAAGAACACACAGGAGGUAUGAUAUUCUUUGGGGGUAAUAACAGGUACUUCAUUUAUAGUAACCCAUGGCAACUACAUUGAUGAACUGUAAACAUCUGCAUGGUUGUUAUGAGUUACUAGACCUUGUGCCUGUUAUUACUUUACCCCCAUAAACCGUGUUCUAAGCUUUCUUCUACAAACCAGUGAUUUCAGUACGAUGUACAUUUCUGUAUAUUUUUGUAACUGUUACAGCAUUGUCAUAUAUCAAGAGUAUGUAUUUUAAAAAUAGUUUUUAAGGGAAACAUGCCAUUUAUAUAAGUAGUAUUUAUCUUUUCUUAAUUUUAUCUUAACUUAUCACUUGAGAUGUGAGGCCGUAGCUUGCAUACAACCUUAUAUUUCUUAUGCAAAAUUUGAAGCUGCCAUAUUUAUUGCUUUGGCUGAAACUUUUUUUCAUAGGAAUUAAGUGAACUGCAUCCUAGUGGUCAACAGCUAAGGCAAGAAAUGUAGCAGGUCCUACUUCAUGAAUACAAAUAUGUAGAGUAGGAAUAUUCUAUGACGCAGCUAUGAGUAACAGAAAAUGCAAACUAGAUAAAGACUACUUAUAAACAGGGUUUGUUUUCCAUUUAUAUACAGCAUUCAAAAGCUGGGUGCAGAUUUUUGAACUGAAGAUUGGAGGAAAAAUAUGGGCCUGUAUCUUUAAAGUAGUUAGCUUUCUCCCAUCACAAGCAGAAAUGGAGAUACUGAUCUCCAUUCGCAACGGCAAACCAGCCACCAUUAUAGACACCGCCCUUCUGAUAGCUGCAUCUGGUGCUUGUGUCAACGUAUGCUUUACAAGAGGGAAAAAAUUAACAGAGGUGCCAUCGUUUUAAAAUACUAUUAUUGGCGGGGGUGGGGCAUGGUCAUAUAAAUGCCUUUAUAACAGUUUCUAACUCUGCAAAUGUUGGUUGAAGAUACUGGUGAAUCUCUGGCAAUUUUGUUCUGUAAAUAAUAAAUUAUUGCCCAAUAGAAUUGUAUGUGUGCAGCUGUUGAAAAGAAGUUGGCCAUGCUUUUCAGUAUAGGUGGCAGGCUGUGUAUCUACUCAAAAAUACAUACAGCAUAUAACAAACCAGCACAACAUAAAGUUGUAUCAGUACUUUCAUUUGUUACUGUGCCUAAGUGCCAUCAAACCCUAACAAUGGACCUACCCAAUUUUCCACUUGCUUAUGGUGUAGGAGAUCCAUAUUAGCACCAACAGCUGCAGCCUUUGUGAAAUGCCGGAGCAAAAUCAGAUUUCAGAACGUAGUACUAUGUUGUUCUUGCUGGUGGUACUUUGUUUCUUGUGGCCAUGUAUUUACCUCGCUGCAUAGCACCCUACAUACAGAGAAAAAGAGGAAAGAAAUGCAGAUCCUGUUCAGUGCCUUUGGUUCUGGGGCAAUGUACAACCAACCCAAAUCUUUCAUACAAUCAACUGAUAUGUUUUUAAGUGUGCGCCUCUGUUAAUCUUUUCUCAGUCUUGUACAUGUCCUUUCCUCAUAAGAAACUGUGUGACUGCGAUGCGUGAAACUGAUCCCCACUUUUAGCAGGAAUAUGUGGACAUAAAACAUGUAUCUAAUAAAGUCUUAAAUACUUCA